UAGGGAAUCUUCGGCAAUGGGGGCAACCCUGACCGAGCAACGGCGCGUGAGUGAAGAAGGUUUUCGGAUCGUAAAGCUCUGUUGUAAGAGAAAAACGUGUGUGAGAGUGGAAAGUUCACACAGUGACGGUAACUUACCAGAAAGGGACGGCUAACUACGUGCCAGCAGCCGCGGUAAUACGUAGGUCCCGAGCGUUGUCCGGAUUUAUUGGGCGUAAAGCGAGCGCAGGCGGUUUAAUAAGUCUGAAGUUAAAGGCAGUGGCUUAACCAUUGUUCGCUUUGGAAACUGUUAAACUUGAGUGCAGAAGGGGAGAGUGGAAUUCCAUGUGUAGCGGUGAAAUGCGUAGAUAUAUGGAGGAACACCGGUGGCGAAAGCGGCUCUCUGGUCUGUAACUGACGCUGAGGCUCGAAAGCGUGGGGAGCAAACAGG
rnacentral:rRNA from 1 species